UGGCACCUCUCGGUUUCUAUCUAGGGAGAUGGGUUAAAGCAUCCGUCGUUGAUCUCUCUAACAUGCGCUAGGAUGGAGUGGCUCCCAUUCAUCCUUUAAGAAUCAAGUUGGUCGGGGAGUUGUCGCAAGACUGAACUUAAGGAAUGACGGAAGGCACCACCCAGAGUGGAGCUGCGGCUUAAUUGACUCAACACCGGGAAACUACCCAGUCCAGACAUAGUAAGGAUGACAGAUGAUAGCUCUUUCUUGAUUCUAUGGGUGGUGGUGCAUGGCCGUUCUUAGUUGGGGAGUGAUUUGUCUGGUUAAUUCCGAUAACGACGAGACCAUAAACAGCUAACUAGACUCUUUUAUUCUAUAGAGUUUAUCUUCUUAGAGGGACUAUGUAAAACAAAGUACAGGGAAGCCUCGAGGCAAUAACAGGUCGGAUGAUGCCCUUAUAUGUCCUUGGUCUUCUCUUCUUUCUACACUAAUGCAUACAACAAGUGCCUAACCAGACAUGGCAUGGCAAUCUCGAAUAUGCAUCGUGAUAGGGAUAGAUCAUUGCAAUUAUAGAUCUUGAACGAGGAAUUCCUAGUAAGUGCAAGUCAUCAUCUUGCAUUGAUUAUGUCCCUGCCCUUUGUACACACCGCCCGUCGCUCCUACCGAUACCGAUGAUCCGGUGAACCUUUGGACCUGUAUGGGGAAGAUAAGUAAACCAAAUCACGAGAGAAUCCGAACAUUCGCGAGGAAGGAGCU
rnacentral:rRNA from 1 species